rnacentral:rRNA from 1 species
CCUACGGGAGUCAGCAGUGAGGAAUAUUGGUCAAUGGACGAGAGUCUGAACCAGCCAAGUAGCGUGAAGGAUGACUGCCCUAUGGGUUGUAAACUUCUUUUAUAUGGGAAUAAAAUGUUCCACGUGUGGGAUUUUGUAUGUACCAUAUGAAUAAGGAUCGUCUAACUCCGUGCCAGCAGCCGCGGUAAUACGGAGGAUCCGAGCGUUAUCCGGAUUUAUUGGGUUUAAAGGGCGCGUAGGUGGAUUGUUAAGUCAGUUGUGAAAGUUUGCGGCUCAACCGUAAAAUUGCAGUUGAAACUGGCAGUCUUGAGUACAGUAGAUGUGGGCGGAAUUCGUGGUGUAGCGGUGAAAUGCUUAGAUAUCACGAAGAACUCCGAUUGCGAAGGCAGUUCACUGGACUGCAACUGACACUGAGGCUCGAAAGUGUGGGUAUCAAACAGGAUUAGAUACCCGUGUAGUC